UCAAUCGCCGUCUCCGUCGCUCUUCAUCUUGUUCACGACCAAUUUCUCCUUCAUAAACAGCGCCAAUUUCUCCUCUUCUGAUUUUUCAAUCGGUGGUCAGAUCUUACCUACUUCUAAUCUGAGAGUCUACACUUUCACCGAAUUGAAAGCUUCUACCAAGAAUUUCAAACCUGAAACACUUCUCGGUGAAGGAGGUUUUGGAAAAGUCUACAGAGGUUGGCUUGAUGGAAUCACCAUUGCCGUCAAAAAAUUGAACUCCGAAAGUUUACAAGGUCUCCAGGAAUGGCAGGCAAAGAAGGCUUUGAGGGCAUUGAAGGGAAUAGUGAAACUUCAAGCGAUUAUUCGUGGCAGAGCAACCGACUCAACAACAACAUGGCAAACCGACUCACCUUUGUUAAUAGUUCAGUUUUUGUUAACUAAAGAACAACGAGCUAACUAAAGAACAAUUAUGGACGAUGUUUCUGUUGUUGCCUCUGACAUAAAACAGGGAGUAUCUUCAAAAAAUCACGCUGAUAAUGUGGUUGCAUCAGCUCCACCUAUAGCUCAUUCAGAUGUUUAUCAUAUUGGAGUCUCUUCACAGAGGGCUUCCAUUGUGAGUCCCUUAACAAAGGCCUUCCAUUGUGAGUCAGCAGCCAGGACAGAGAGCUCAUUAUAAGUGGAAAGGUUCAGAUAAAAUCAGUAGGAUAUACGGCGGUUGGAUCGACGACGACUUCGACUAGAGGUAUAAUAACUUAUAUUCCCAAUCUUGGAAACAUGGAAAAUAGGGGCUUAUGUAAUCACCAUGUUGUUGAAUAAGCUAUGAUUAUCAUUCCCAUCUUGUUAUAUUAUCUAUAAUGUCUUGUGUGAUCCAUCCUUACCUUCCGGCACUUGUAGCACUUUGUUCAAUUUGCAGAUUAUUGUUCUGUGCACUUCUCUUUGGUAAAGGAUUAAUCUUCUUUUCAAGUUUUUGUUUCAGUUUUGAAUGUAACAAGGGCUUCCUUGUUUGUGCAUUAGAAUGCGAUGCGAGAUGCGUCCAUAAUUGUUAUUUAGUUAGCUCAUGUUCUAACAAUUAUGGACUCAGCUUUUCUAACAGCUUCCUUGUUUGUGUAUCAUACUGCGAUGCGAGAUGCGUCCAACAACGUGGCUUUUUGAUUUCAUUUGUUGCAAGCUAUUUGUUCUGUUUGACAGGUUUGAUACAAGGCGUCGAGUUCGGUUUUUGUGCACUUCUCUUUGGUAAAGGAUUAAUCUUCUUUUCAAGUUUUUGUUUCAGUUUUGAAUGUAACAAGGGCUUCCUUGUUUGUGCAUCAGAAUGCGAUGCGAGAUGCGUCCAUAAUUGUUAUUUAGUUAGCUCAUGUUCUAACAAUUAUGGACUCAGCUUUUCUAACAGCUUCCUUGUUUGUGUAUCAGACUGCGAUGCGAGAUGCGUCCAACAAUGUGGCUUUUUGAUUUCAUUUGUUGCAAGCUAUUUGUUCUGUUUGACAGGUUUGAUACAAGGCGUCGAGUUCGGUCUUUGUGAGUCAGUUCAGCAAGUGAGUUGUCGAGCUUGGUUUCGAUUUUGUAUACGUGAUAAGCAUGCCACUAACGUGCAAAACCUGUAAUGAUAAAUUAUAUAUGACUUAUUCUCGCUGCUGUGUUGCUCUAGGGUCUAUUCUACCAUCUUCUGUUUGUAACUUAUUCAACAAUCAAUUGUUGAUUUGUCGGCCGAAAGUGAAGAUAUGGAUGAUACAAGAAUAAGAAGAAGAGGUAGUAGUAUUACAUACAACGGCUACGAAAAGUGUGAAAUGUACCUGACAUGCGUUUCGAUAUCUCAACUCCAUUGUUAAGAGUGACCACUUUCCAUCCAUCAUUGUUUCCAUUGUUUCCUCUAUUCGUGUCUGAAGCUGCUAAUAACUCUUGUAUGAAGCUUUCACUCGCAAACUGCACAUACCUUCUAAGAGAAUCCUCGCUAAUCGACCAGGACCGGCUGCAAGGUACAGUUCUAGUUCUGCUCAUUGUGACUUCUAUUGAUUUGUUUUCUCUAAGACAUUAAGGUUUAAAACUAUUGAUAAGUGAAAGACAUAUAUAUACACAAAAAGUGGCAAUGUCAUGUGAUGAUGCUUAGUUUAAAAGAGAAGAGAAAAAACAAAAGAAAAAUGAAGUGGGAAUAGGUGAUUGCUGCACAUGCAAUGCCAGAAGAACCUUAAAUGAUUAGAACAAUAGGCCUCUCUCUCUUGAGACAGCCAGAAAAGCAGUGAGAUAAAGGGUUGAAAACUUCAUGCACAUGGAGUGUUGGCGAAUAAAAAUAAAAGAAAUAAAUACACUUAAUAAUAGUACUUAGCAAUGUUUGUAGAGAGAAUAAAAUUAGAGGUUCAACUACCAUAAUGUAUAAUUAGGCCAAAAGCUUGGAAUUUUCAACUACCACAAUAUGCAUAAAGUUAGUAUAUAUUCUUGCUAAUUUAAGUGUACUAUAUUGAAUAUUUGAACCGUAUAAAGUAUGAAUAGAAGUCACAAUGAUGAUGAGGGCAAGGAAUUUUAUCAAACCAUCUAAAUUUAGUAUAUAAUUAUUCAUUAUUGCUUUCCAUUUCAUAUGCUUUGAAACGCUUAAUCCUCUCAACUCUUGCCGAGAAAUCCUCUGCAAACCAUCUGUUGAAGCCUUUGAGGCUGCUAUUAGAAUCGCGAAAGUUGAUCCAAAGAAAAUGAUUUUCUUUGAUGACAAUGUUAUAAAUGUUGCAAGUGGAAACAUAUUUAUAUGGAAGAAACACAAGGAGAUGAUCAAGAAGAAUAUUAUGAUGCAUGGGUUUAAUUAAUAGUAUAGUUGUGUUUUAUAUUAUCUAGCUCUUAGAACUUUUGUUUUGAAUUUGGGAAGACUCUCUCGAGAGAAACUUGGUUUUGUUUAAGAAUGAUAACAUCAAAACUUGGUUUUGGGCCGGUAACGUCGCUUGAUGUAGACUUUAACUUCUUAAUGAAUAUUUUGUUCUUGACGUUAAA